CCACUCACAUUCCACAGCAUAUAUAGUAAAAUUGGAAUGAUGCAGGGAAGAUUAGCAUGGCUCCUGAGAAAGGAUGACAUCUAGACUUAUGAAGUAUUUCAUAGUUUU
ensembl:snRNA U6 U6 spliceosomal RNA